AACAAUUAACAGUUCACACGGGAUUUUGAAAAACCUAAAUCCACGCAAAGAAAGUCGCGGUCAUCAUGUAGUAAUUCUAGUAUA